rnacentral:rRNA from 1 species
GACGAACGCUGGCGGCGUGCUUAACACAUGCAAGUCGAACGCUGAAGACCUGGCUUUUGUUGGGUUGGAUGAGUGGCGAACGGGUGAGUAACACGUGAGUAACCUGCCCUCUUCUUUGGGAUAACGCCCGGAAACGGGUGCUAAUACUGGAUAUUCACUGAUCUUCGCAUGGGGGUUGGUGGAAAGGUUUGUUCUGGUGGGGGAUGGGCUCGCGGCCUAUCAGCUUGUUGGUGGGGUGAUGGCCUACCAAGGCUUUGACGGGUAGCCGGCCUGGGAGGGUGACCGGUCACGUUGGGACUGAGAUACGGCCCAGACUCCUACGGGAGGCAGCAGUGGGGAAUAUUGCACGAUGGGCGAAAGCCUGAUGCAGCGACGCCGCGUGAGGGAUGGAGGCCUUCGGGUUGGAAACCUCUUUCGCUCAUGGUCAAGCCGCAACUGUGGGUUGUGGUGAGGGUAGUGGGUAAAGAAGCGCCGGCUAACUACGUG